GCUGGCGGCGUGCCUAAUACAUGCAAGUCGAGCGAACAGAUAAGGAGCUUGCUCCUUUGACGUUAGCGGCGGACGGGUGAGUAACACGUGGGUAACCUACCUAUAAGACUGGAAUAACUCCGGGAAACCGGGGCUAAUGCCGGAUAACAUUUAGAACCGCAUGGUUCUAAAGUGAAAGAUGGUUUUGCUAUCACUUAUAGAUGGACCCGCGCCGUAUUAGCUAGUUGGUAAGGUAACGGCUUACCAAGGCAACGAUACGUAGCCGACCUGAGAGGGUGAUCGGCCACACUGGAACUGAGACACGGUCCAGACUCCUACGGGAGGCAGCAGUAGGGAAUCUUCCGCAAUGGGCGAAAGCCUGUCGGAGCAACGCCGCGUGAGUGAUGAAGGUCUUCGGAUCGUAAAACUCUGUUAUUAGGGAAGAACAAAUGUGUAAGUAACUGUGCACGUCU
rnacentral:rRNA from 2 species